rnacentral:rRNA from 1 species
UUGAAAGGGAAACGAUUGAAGUCAGUCGUGCAGUCAUCAACUCAACGGUAUCGUGAGGUAAUUUAUUGCUUUACGUUUCCGUGUACUUUGUUGUCUGCUGGUUUAGCAUCAAUUUUUGAUUGUCAUAAAAAGGUUAAGGGGAUGUGGCUCCUUCGGGAGUGUUAUAACCCUUGGCGGAAUGUGACGAUUGGGAUUGAGGUUUGCAACGAAUACCUUUAGGGCAGUUUCCUUCUGGUCUCUUGUUUGACGUUCAGAUGACAACAGCUUGCUUUUUGUUUGUUUGAAUAGUUAGCGAAUAGAUUGGAAUGUGAAUUUAAUUCGUUAAGGAUUGACGUA